rnacentral:rRNA from 1 species
AGAGUUUGAUCCUGGCUCAGGACGAACGCUGGCGGCGUGCCUAACACAUGCAAGUCGAACGGGGUAAAGACUUCGGUUUUUACUUAGUGGCGAACGGGUGAGUAACGCGUGAGAAACCUGCCUUUCAGUGGGGGACAACAGUUGGAAACGACUGCUAAUACCGCAUAAUGUUAUUUGGGGGCAUCCCUGAAUAACCAAAGAUUUAUUGCUGAAAGAUGGUCUCGCGUCUGAUUAGCUAGUUGGUGAGGUAACGGCUCACCAAGGCGACGAUCAGUAGCCGGUCUGAGAGGAUGAACGGCCACAUUGGGACUGAGAUACGGCCCAGACUCCUACGGGAGGCAGCAGUGGGGAAUAUUGGGCAAUGGGGGAAACCCUGACCCAGCAACGCCGCGUGAAGGAAGAAGGCCUUCGGGUUGUAAACUUCUUUUACCAGGGACGAACAAAUGACGGUACCUGGAGAAAAAAGCAACGGCUAACUACGUGCCAGCAGCCGCGGU